UACGAAGGGGGCUAGCGUUGCUCGGAAUCACUGGGCGUAAAGCGCACGUAGGCGGAUUUUUAAGUCAGGGGUGAAAUCCUGGAGCUCAACUCCAGAACUGCCUUUGAUACUGGGAAUCUCGAGUCCGGAAGAGGUGAGUGGAACUGCGAGUGUAGAGGUGAAAUUCGUAGAUAUUCGCAAGAACACCAGUGGCGAAGGCGACUUACUGGACACAUAUUGACGCUGAGGUGCGAAAGCGUGGGGAGCAAACAGG
rnacentral:rRNA from 1 species